rnacentral:rRNA from 1 species
GACGAACGCUGGCGGCGUGCUUAACACAUGCAAGUCGAACGGAAAGGCCCUGCGUUUGUGCGGUUCACGAGUGGCGAACGGGUGAGUAACACGUGAGUAACCUGCCCUUAAAUUAGGGAUAACUCCAGGGAACUGGGGCGAUAACCGCAGAGAAUCUCCUGAUCCAUGGGGGGGGUUGGAAAGUUUCGGCGGUUGGGGCUGGACUGGCGGCUUAUCAGCUUGUUGGGGGGGUAGUGGCUGACCAAGGCUUUGAAGGCUAGCCGGCAUGAGAGGGUGACCGGCCACAUUGGGACUGCGGGACGGCCCAGACUGCUACGGGAGGCAGCAGUGGGGAAUUUUGCAGAAUGGGCGGAAGCCUGAUGCAGCAACGCCGCGUGCGGGAUGCCGGCUUUCGGGUUGUAAACCGCUUUGGCAUGUGACGAAGCGGGAGUGACGGUAAUGGGUAAAGAAGCAACGGCUAACUACGUG